rnacentral:rRNA from 1 species
GACGAACGCUGGCGGCGUGCUUAACACAUGCAAGUCGAACGGAAAGGCCCUGCUUUUGUGGGGUGCUCGAGUGGCGAACGGGUGAGUAACACGUGAGUAACCUGCCCUUGACUUUGGGAUAACUUCAGGAAACUGGGGCUAAUACCGGAUAGGAGCUCCUGCUGCAUGGUGGGGGUUGGAAAGUUUCGGCGGUUGGGGAUGGACUCGCGGCUUAUCAGCUUGUUGGUGGGGUAGUGGCUUACCAAGGCUUUGACGGGUAGCCGGCCUGAGAGGGUGACCGGCCACAUUGGGACUGAGAUACGGCCCAGACUCCUACGGGAGGCAGCAGUGGGGAAUAUUGCACAAUGGGCGGAAGCCUGAUGCAGCAACGCCGCGUGCGGGAUGACGGCCUUCGGGUUGUAAACCGCUUUCGCCUGUGACGAAGCGUGAGUGACGGUAAUGGGUAAAGAAGCACCGGCUAACUACGUGCCAGCAGCCGCGGUGAUACGUAGGGUGCGAGCGUUGUCCGGAUUUAUUGGGCGUAAAGGGCUCGUAGGUGGUUGAUCGCGUCGGAAGUGUAAUCUUGGGGCUUAACCCUGAGCGUGCUUUCGAUACGGGUUGACUUGAGGAAGGUAGGGGAGAAUGGAAUUCCUGGUGGAGCGGUGGAAUGCGCAGAUAUCAGGAGGAACACCAGUGGCGAAGGCGGUUCUCUGGGCCUUUCCUGACGCUGAGGAGCGAAAGCGUGGGGAGCGAACAGGCUUAGAUACCCUGGUAGUCCACGCUGUAAACGGUGGGUACUAGGUGUGGGGUCCAUUCCACGGGUUCCGUGCCGUAGCUAACGCUUUAAGUACCCCGCCUGGGGAGUACGGCCGCAAGGCUAAGACUCAAAGGAAUUGACGGGGCCCCGCAUAAGCGGCGGAGCAUGCGGAUUAAUUCGAUGCAACGCGUAGAACCUUACCUGGGUUUGACAUGGAUCGGGAGUGCUCAGAGAUGGGUGUGCCUCUUUUGGGGUCGGUUCACAGGUGGUGCAUGGCUGUCGUCAGCUCGUGUCGUGAGAUGUUGGGUUAAGUCCCGCAACGAGCGCAACCCUUGUUCACUGUUGCCAGCACGUUAUGGUGGGGACUCAGUGGAGACCGCCGGGGUCAACUCGGAGGAAGGUGGGGAUGACGUCAAGUCAUCAUGCCCCUUAUGUCCAGGGCUUCACGCAUGCUACAAUGGCUGGUACAGAGAGUGGCGAGCCUGUGAGGGUGAGCGAAUCUCGGAAAGCCGGUCUCAGUUCGGAUUGGGGUCUGCAACUCGACCUCAUGAAGUCGGAGUCACUAGUAAUCGCAGAUCAGCAACGCUGCGGUGAAUACGUUCCCGGG